AAUCAACGCUGGCGGCGUGCCUAACACAUGCAAGUCGAACGCGAAAGUGGAGCAAUCCAUGAGUAGAGUGGCAAACGGGUGAGUAACGCGUGGGUGACCUACCUUCGAGUGGGGGAUAACGUCCCGAAAGGGACGCUAAUACCGCAUGACAUCCUGCUUUUGAACAGGCGGAGAUCAAAGCCGGGGAUCGCAAGACCUGGCGCUUGAAGAGGGGCCCGCGUCUGAUUAGCUAGUUGGUGGGGUAACGGCUCACCAAGGCGACGAUCAGUAUCCGGCCUGAGAGGGCGGACGGACACACUGGGACUGAGACACGGCCCAGACUCCUACGGGAGGCAGCAGUGGGGAAUUGUUCACAAUGGGCGCAAGCCUGAUGACGCAACGCCGCGUGGAGGAUGAAGGUCUUCGGAUUGUAAACUCCUGUUGCUCGGGACGAAAAGCUCCGACCUAACACGUCGGAGUCUGACGGUACCGGGUGAGGAAGCCCCGGCUAACUCUGUGC
rnacentral:rRNA from 1 species